ensembl:lncRNA
UUUUUUUUUUUUUUUCUUUUUUUCUUUUUACAGCUGCUGCACUUGUGGCAUAUGGAAGUUCCCAAGCUAAGGGUCAAAUUGGAGCUGCAGCUGUCGGCCUGCAGUAUAGCCAUGGUAACAUCAGAUGGGAGCCACAUCUGCAACCUAUCUCAGCUUGCAGCAAUUCCGAAUCAGGCCAGGGAUCAAACCCGCAACCUCAUGGUUCCUAGUUGGAUUCGUUAACCACUGAGCCAUGACAGGAACUCCUUCUGUUUAUUCUUAAUACCUGUAAAGACAGUCAGGUAGAUCGUACCUGUGACCCUUUUUAUCCAAUGUGUUAUAGUUGAGUGGCUUCCUGUCCUUUGGAAACUUAUGUCUUUUGAUUCUGGAAAAUAUUCAUGCAUUCUAUCCUAUUUCCCACUUUGUGUCUGAUUUUAUUUUGUUUUCUGUAGAAAUCCCAUCCUUUGAAUGUUGAAUCUGUUCAAUGGCUACUCUAACACUGCUCUAAUGGCUCCUCUGUACUCUGAUGCUGUUCCUUUGAUAUUUCCAACCAUUUGUGUUAUUUUUAUGAUCAUAGUUUAAAUUUUCCAGAUUGCUCUCUUUCACUUGUCUGCUUUUUAUGAUUUUCAUGGUUUUCUGAUUCACUAGUUUCAUGAUGCAAUAUUGUCUCUUGGUUGUCAGAGGAUAUUCAUCACAAAAUAUUUAAUGUUUUUCUUCAAUUUUCUUAUAUUCACUCUUACUGUUUGCUUAUAUGUUUUUAAAUGUCUUCAUGCAAGUUGGAGGUAUUCCUCAAAUGUUGGUGAUUUUCAUGAUUUUAAAUCUUAAAAUCAUCUUGUCAUUCCCUUCACCAAUCUCUUCUGUCAGAUUAUGCUCAGGCAUUUAAAUCUCCUAUAGACUUUUUUAAUAUACUUCCCUCUACCUGUAGAUAUAAACCUUCACAACAAACCAGGCUUAGCUUCCGUGCAUGUGCAUUUUUUCAACCAUAGCAAUUACAUUUCUAAACGCUUUAUGUGAUUAUCUAAUUUCAUUUGCCGAGAAUCCCACUUCCUUCUACUUAUUUAUAUUUAACUAAUAUUCUAGGGAAGAUUAAGGAUCCAAGAGUUCUGUGAACAUAUUCUUAGGAAUUCAGUCCUCAGCUAAAAUUCUCUCCUAUGUUUGUUCCCCAUCCUUUAUUGUUCUUAUAAUAUGAUAAAAUGAUAUUGGAGGUAUUAAUCCACGUGGUUUCUUCUCUCCCAUACCCUUCAUCCUCUUUUCAGACUGCAAGAUAUGAAGCUGCAAAUUGAAGCAGGACUUUUAGUGGAGAUAAGGAACUGAUGUUAUAUUACCAUUCAGUUUUAAUAGAGACUUGGAAUAGUUAUGAUCGACUUGAAACAGUUAUCCUAAAUACCAUCCAAAAAAUGAUAAAAGGGCUAUAAGCUUGAUAGAAGUAGGCAAGCAGAAGCUUAGAUGUGAAUGAAUCCCA